rnacentral:rRNA from 1 species
GACGAACGCUGGCGGCGUGCCUAAUACAUGCAAGUCGAACGCAGUGGGGACGGGUGAGUAACACGUGGGUAACCGCCCAUCAGAGGGGAUAACCCUUGGAAACAGGUGCUAAACCGACACUGAAGGAGGGACCCGCGGUGCAUUAGCUAGUUGGUGAGGUAACGGCUCACCUAGGCGACGAUGCAUAGCUGGCCUGAGAGGGUGAUCGGCCACACUGGGACUGAGACACGGCCCAGACUCCUACGGGAGGCAGCAGUAGGGAAUCUUCGGCAAUGGGCGAAAGUCUGAUCGAGCAAUGCCGCGUGAGUGAAGAAGGUUUUCGGGUCGUAAAGCUCUGUUGUUCGAGAGGCGGUAUCUAAAGAGGAAGCCCCGGCUAACUACGUGCCAGCAGCCGCGGUAAUUC